GUAGGUGAACCUGCGGAAGGAUCAUUAACACUCCAAAAACUUCUCAUACCCUCUUUUUUUUGGGGUGGGGGCAACCCCCCCCUCUAAAGGAUGGGCUUAUGAAACCCUAUUCACCUUUUCACGAACCCGGCGGAAAUGAACAGAUUUGUCUUGCUCUUUUCUCUUUUUCUUCGGAGAGAGAGAGAGAGAGAGAGAGUGAGAGGCUGCCAUUUCUUGCUACUUUCUUUUGUCCAUUUUUAAUUUUAUAACC
rnacentral:misc_RNA from 1 species